rfam:Brachypodium distachyon strain Bd21 chromosome 4, whole genome shotgun sequence.
UUGUUACUACCUCCGUUCAACAAAAGAUGUCUCAAGUUUGUCAAAAUUUGGAUGUAUCUAGACAUGACUUGGUGUAUAGAUUCAUUCAAAUUUGGUCAAAGUUGAAACAUCCUUUGUUGGACGGAGAGAGUAUUAU